CCUUUUGGUUUACAAUUAGCUUCUUAACUUUUAUUAUUCAUUUUAAUUAAAUUAGUAUCAAUGAUUUAAAAACCAGAUUGAACCGAUUGAUUUGACUGAUCAGACUUUAAACUAUUCUAUCAAAUAUCUGAUUUCAAUCUAUUAAACUGAAUAAGAUUAAGAACAAUCUGGAACCGUUAAAGAUAAUAAACAUUUUUAACAGAAUGACAUUUUAACAGUUAGAGCUAAUAAAUAUUUUUAACAUAAUUUUAAAUAUAAAAAUUGAAAAUAUUAGGAUUACUAUUCAGAAAAAAGGUUAGGAAUUUGAAUUCGAACCCGACUAACAAUCGCAAAAUCUAUUUCCUAACUUGACGGAUUUCAAAAAUCCAUAUCUAAACCCGAAACUGACCAAUUUUUCGAAACCCAAAACCGAACCCAAACCCAAAGACCGGAACCCGAAACAAUUAUUUUUUUUUAUCAUAUUUCAAAAUAUUUUAUAUUAAAUUUAAAAUUUUAAAAUAUAAAUUUGAAUAUAAUAUUAAACUUUAUAUAUGAUUCG
rnacentral:lncRNA from 1 species